rnacentral:rRNA from 1 species
UACAGAGGGUGCAAGCGUUAAUCGGAAUGACUGGGCGUAAAGGGUGCGUAGGUGGCAUAUUAAGUUAGUUGUGAAAGCCCCGGGCUUAACCUGGGAACUGCAAUUAAUACUGGUAAGCUAGAGUUUAGGAGAGGAUAGUGGAAUUUCCGGUGUAGCGGUGAAAUGCGUAGAUAUCGGAAGGAACACCAGUGGCGAAGGCGACUAUCUGGCCUAGAACUGACACUGAGGCACGAAAGCGUGGGUAGCGAACAGG